rnacentral:tRNA from 1 species
AAGAUUUUAAGUUAUUUAAAACUUUUAAUUUUCAAAAUUAAUAAUAUAUAAUUAUUUAUAUAAAUCUUA